rnacentral:rRNA from 1 species
GUGAGGAAUAUUGGUCAAUGGGCGGAAGCCUGAACCAGCCAUCCCGCGUGAAGGAAGGCGGCCCUAUGGGUUGUAAACUUCUUUAGUACAUGAAGAACAGGAUCUACGCGUAGGUUUAUGACGGUAAUGUACAAAGAAGCAUCGGCUAACUCCGUGCCAGCAGCCGCGGUAAUACGGAGGAUGCGAGCGUUAUCCGGAUUCAUUGGGUUUAAAGGGUACGUAGGUGGCCCUGUAAGUCAGUGGUGAAAAUCUGCCGCUUAACGGUAGGGGUGCCAAUGAUACUGCGGGGCUUGAGUACAGUUGAGGUAGGUGGAAUGUGUAGUGUAGCGGUGAAAUGCAUAGAUAUUACACAGAACUCCGAUUGCGAAGGCAUCUUACUAAGCUGAAACUGACACUGAUGUACGAAAGCGUGGGGAUCGAACAGGAUUAGAAACCCCGGUAGUCC